CCUACGGGAGGCAGCAGUGAGGAAUAUUGGUCAAUGGACGAGAGUCUGAACCAGCCAAGUAGCGUGAAGGAUGACUGCCCUAUGGGUUGUAAACUUCUUUUAUAUGGGAAUAAAACGUUCAACGUGUGGGAGUGUGUAUGGACCAUAUGAAUAAGGAUCGGCUAACUCCGUGCCAGCAGCCGCGGUAAGACGGAGGAUCCGAGCGUUAUCCGGAUUUAUUGGGUGUAAAGGGAGCGUAGGUGGAUUGUGAAGUCGGUUGUGAACGUUUGCGGCUCAACCGUAAAAUUGCAGUUGAAACUGGCAGGCGUGAGUACAGUAGCGGUGGGCGGAAUUCGUGGUGUAGCGGUGAAAUGCUUAGAUAUCACGAAGAACUCCGAUUGCGAAGGCAGUUCACUGGACUGCAACUGACACUGAGGCUCGAAAGUGUGGGUAUCAAACAGGAUUAGAUACCCCAGUAGUC
rnacentral:rRNA from 1 species